rnacentral:rRNA from 1 species
GGGGAAUAUUGGACAAUGGGGGAAACCCUGAUCCAGCAAUGCCGCGUGGGUGAUGAAGGCCUUCGGGUUGUAAAGCCCUUUUGGCGGGGACGAUGAUGACGGUACCCGCAGAAUAAGCCCCGGCUAACUUCGUGCCAGCAGCCGCGGUAAUACGAAGGGGGCUAGCGUUGUUCGGAAUUACUGGGCGUAAAGGGCGCGUAGGCGGUCGUGCGAGUCAGAUGUGAAAGCCCUGGGCUCAACCCAGGAUGUACAUUUGAUACUGCAUGGCUAGAGUGUCGGAGAGGAUGGUGGAAUUCCCAGUGUAGAGGUGAAAUUCGUAGAUAUUGGGAAGAACACCGGUGGCGAAGGCGACCAUCUGGACGACAACUGACGCUGAGGCGCGAACGCGUGGGGAGCAAACA